rnacentral:rRNA from 1 species
AGAGUUUGAUCCUGGCUCAGGAUGAACGCUGGCGGCGUGCUUAACACAUGCAAGUCGAACGGACCCUUCGGGGUUAGUGGCGGACGGGUGAGUAACGCGUGAGGAUCUGCCCUUAGGAUGGGGACAACGACUGGAAACGGUCGCUAAAACCCGAUGUGCCGGAAGGUGAAAACUUUAGUGCCUGAGGAUGAACUCGCGUCUGAUUAGCUAGUUGGUAGUGUAAUGGACUACCAAGGCGACGAUCAGUAGCUGGUCUGAGAGGAUGAUCAGCCACACUGGGACUGAGACACGGCCCAGACUCCUACGGGAGGCAGCAGUGGGGAAUUUUCCGCAAUGGGCGAAAGCCUGACGGAGCAACGCCGCGUGAGGGACGAAGGUCUGUGGAUUGUAAACCUCUUUUCUCAGGGAAGAAGACAUGACGGUACCUGAGGAAUCAGCAUCGGCUAACUCCGUGCCAGCAGCCGCGGUAAUACGGAGGAUGCAAGCGUUAUCCGGAAUUAUUGGGCGUAAAGCGUCCGUAGGCGGUUUUUCAAGUCUGCUGUUAAAGCGUGCAGCUUAACUGCAUAUCGGCAGUGGAAACUGAGAGACUAGAGUGUAGUAGGGGUAGAGGGAAUUCCCAGUGUAGCGGUGAAAUGCGUAGAUAUUGGGAAGAACACCGGUGGCGAAAGCGCUCUACUGGGCUACAACUGACGCUGAUGGACGAAAGCUAGGGGAGCGAAAGGGAUUAGAUACCCCUGUAGUCCUAGCCGUAAACGAUGGACACUAGGUGUUGACCGUAUCGACCCGGUCAGUGCCGUAGCCAACGCGUUAAGUGUCCCGCCUGGGGAGUACGCUCGCAAGAGUGAAACUCAAAGGAAUUGACGG